rnacentral:rRNA from 1 species
UUGACCUCAGAUCAGGUAGGACU